rnacentral:misc_RNA from 1 species
UGAUGCAGUCAGAUUGGGCAGG